rnacentral:rRNA from 1 species
AUUGAACGCUGGCGGCAUGCCUUACACAUGCAAGUCGAACGGCAGCGGACCUUCGGGUGCCGGCGAGUGGCGAACGGGUGAGUAAUAUAUCGGAACGUACCUUUCAGUGGGGGAUAACGUAGCGAAAGUUACGCUAAUACCGCAUAUUCUGUGAGCAGGAAAGCAGGGGAUCGCAAGACCUUGCGCUGAUUGAGCGGCCGAUAUCAGAUUAGCUAGUUGGUGAGGUAAAGGCUCACCAAGGCGACGAUCUGUAGCGGGUCUGAGAGGAUGAUCCGCCACACUGGAACUGAGACACGGUCCAGACUCCUACGGGAGGCAGCAGUGGGGAAUUUUGGACAAUGGGUGCAAGCCUGAUCCAGCCAUGCCGCGUGAGUGAAGAAGGCC